rnacentral:rRNA from 1 species
AGUGCACGCUGGCGGUAGGCCUAACACAUGCAAGUCGAACGGAAGCACAGUAAGAGCUUGCUCUUACGGGUGGCGAGUGGCGGACGGGUGAGGAAUACAUCGGAAUCUACUUUUUCGUGGGGGAUAACGUAGGGAAACUUACGCUAAUACCGCAUACGACCUACGGGUGAAAGCAGUGGAUCUUCGGACCUUGCGCGAUUGAAUGAGCCGAUGUCGGAUUAGCUAGUUGGCGGGGUAAAGGCCCACCAAGGCGACGAUGCGUAGCUGAUCUGAGAGGAUGAUAGGCCACACUGGAACUGAGAAACGGUCCAGACUCCUACGGGAGGCAGCAGUAGGGAAUCUUCGGCAAUGGGCGAAAGCCUGAUGUAGCCAUGCCGCGUGAGUGAAGAAGGCCUUCUGCUUGUAAAGCUCUUUUGUUGGGAAAGAAAAAAUGCGUAUUUAAAUCUGGCCGUUUUGACGGUACCCAAUAAGAAAGCACCGGCUAACUACGUG